rnacentral:rRNA from 1 species
GACGAACGCUGGCGGCGUGCUUAACACAUGCAAGUCGUACGGUAAGGCCCUUUCGGGGGUACCCGAGUGGCGAACGGUUGAGUAACACGGGAGUAACCUGCCCACAACUUUGGGAUAACGCUAGGAAACUGGUGCUAAUACUGGAUAUGUGCUCCUGCUGCAUGGUGGGGGUUGGAAAGCUCCGGCGGUUGUGGAUGGACUCGCGGCCUAUCAGCUUGUUGGUGGGGUAGUGGCCUACCAAGGCGACGACGGGUAGCCGGCCUGUGAGAGUGACCGGCCACAUUGAGACUGAGAGACGGCCCAGACUCCGACGGGAGGCAGCAGGGGGGAAUAUUGCACAAGGGGCGCAAGCCGGAUGCAGAAACGCCGCGUGCGGGAUGACGGCUUUCGGGUUGUAAACCGCUUUCAGCAGGGACGAAGCUUUUUGUGACGGUACCUGCAGAAGAAGCACCGGCUAACUACGUG